CAGAAUCCUGCCUAGACGUAACGAUACCAUAGCGCCGCGGAGCUUCGGUUGGCCCAGGAUAGCCGGCUUCGGCCGGUGAGUAGAGCCGUUCGAGACGGGGCUGGGGCGCGGCCGGAUGAUGGUCGCCCCUCUCCUACCUCGCACCGCAUGUUUGUGGAGAACCUGGUGCUAAAUCACUUGUAGACGACCUGAUUCUGGGUCAGGGUUUCGUACGUAGCAGAGCAGCUCCCUCGCUGCGAUCU
rnacentral:rRNA from 1 species